UUUAAGAAAUUAAGGUUUGUUCUGUUUUAAAAUUCUCUUCACUAAAUAUCAUUGUUGUUAAGAUUCCCAGAAAAAUUUAACUUUUCAUACUUUCAAAUGAAAUUCUGAAACACACUUUUGAUGAGUCUCUUGUUUCUACUCAAUUUUUGUUAUGCUAUAUUUGAAAAGAAGGUUACUUUGCAUGGUAUUAUUAUUUACAUUUUGUUAUCCUUUACAUUUUUCCAUAUGAUUGUUGAUUGGUUUCUGAGAAUCUCGGCCUAUAUGUUUUUAAACUAACCAAUAAAACAACAAAGAAAACAAAAUUGAACCAACUCAAGUUACCGCUACUAUAAGUCCUGGUUGAAUGUGUUCAUUCUUUUAUCUUAAAACAACAACUCUUUAAUAAGUCGAAGAAAUGAAGUAUAAAUAAAUAAGUUAAAAUGUUUUACUCAGCCAUGCAAAUAACUUUCAGCCCAAUGGAAGUUGGGAGCACAACAUAGGGAAUGGUGGGACACCAAAGGUUGUAAAGAACAUACUCUGGAAAGCCAGGAUCCUUGAGGGAAAGCAUUUGAUGACCAUCUGUACUACUUAUCAUCUCCCCAGUAAUUAUCUAUGUUUUACUCAAUUAAAAUGAACAAAUUGUCAUAUGCCUGCAAUUUUCUGAUACGACACUCUCAAAUUUGGAGCAAUGACCAUAUUAUAUUUUAGCAAGUAUACUACUAAACUAGGUCAAAUAAGUUAGAUGUUUUUCCUAACUUAAAAAUUGAUCCAUGAAAGAAUUCCAAUAUUUCAUAAAGUUAUAUUGAAGAGCAGAUCUAUUGAGAAAAUCUUUCCAUUGUGAGUCAUGAAGACAUUCAAAGUGCAAUUAUGGAGAGACUUUUUACUAAGUAUUAACUAUUCAUAAAUUAUGCUUCCUACCACAUAUGAGAAUGUGUAUGAGUGAAGACUUUUUUCAUUGGUUAAUGAAAUGAGAAAUUAAUCUUCUGUUAAAUUUGGGUUAAACGUAUUUAACUGUCUUGGUACUUGACUGUAUGACUGUGACCUCAGUGAAGGAAUCUUCCAUUUUGUUUAUAAUUGAUGCUUUUUCCUUUCUAGGGUAAGUUUGUUUGUAUUGGAACAUCCUCGGGAGCCAUAGAAGAGAUUAUUACAAACUGAAAAAUAUCUAUGAAAUUUUCCAUUGAGCCUGUCGCCCUGUGUGACGACUUUGCAAUGACUCCCUGUCUGAGUGGGUGUGGAGGUCAGUGGAGGAGCCAGGUAUCCUCCUGUGGGUCAGAUCACACUGUGCUGGCUGGACAGAUUCACAGUGCUGUUCUUGGAUGGGGGAAGUGAUCCACGCGUGUGUUGCUGUCCAAUUUCUUCACCUCCUUCUCUAGGAGCCGCAAGCCAGAAGGUCACCAUUAAUCCACUGUUUUUUUCUCCCAUUAUAGGGUUAUUAAAUGGUCUAAUUUCAAUAGUAACAUCAAAUAUCACUAAUCGCCAAUUACCAUAACAUAUAAUAAUAAUAAUAAUAAAGGUUCGAAAUAUUGUGAGAAUUACCAAAAUGUGACACAGAGACAUGAAGUGAGUACCUGCUAUUGGAAAAAGUGUGCCAAUAGACUUGCUGGACACAGGGUUGCCACAAAACUUCAAUUUGUAAAAAAUGCUGUAUGUGCCAAACACAAUAAAGCAAAGCACAGUAAAGUUAGGUGUGUCUGUAUUUACUUACAACUCAAAUUAGAGCUAAGUUUGAUGAUAAAAGAAAUGGAAUACACAAUGUCCUCAGGAGAAUAAAGACAAAUUGUUUAUACCUCCACUUAUUAAGCAUGGAUGUAUUUUUCCUGGAUACUGUAGCAUGCAGUUCUCAGAGUACAAGGUGAAUGAGGCAAGGCCCUGUGAAACCAGCCCUGGCUUUCCAGAAGUAUUAGUAAAAGAGAAAUAAUACAGAAAAUAUUUCUAGUCAAUAUAUUUUGUCCAUCAAAUGGAAUUGUUUAUUAAAUAAAAUUAUUUUAAAGGUAUGUUAUUAAUUAAAUAAUUAUAUCUCAUUUAUUAAGAAUAAUCAUUGGAAAUCUGGCAUGGGGCUGCAUACUGGUAAUCCUAGCUACUUGGGAGGCUAAGGCAGGAGAAUUGUUUGAGCCCAGGAGUGAGCUAUGAUCAUGUACUUCAGCCUGGAUGACAUCGCAAGAUCUUGUCUCACAAAAAAAAAGAGUAACUAUUAGUUAAUCACUUUUAAAAGUCUAUAUGCAAUUAAUAUAAUAUUCUAUUUUGUAUUAAUCUUUACAGUAAGCCUGGGUGCAUAGGUACAUGCCUAUAGUCCCAGCUACUUGGAAAGCUGAGGUGGGAGAAUCCCUUGAGGCCAGUAGUUCAAGGUUGCAAUGUGUCAUGAUUGCACCUAUUAAUAUCCGUUGGACUUUAGCCUGAGCAAUAUAGUGAGACCCCAUCUCUAAAUUAAAAAAAAACAAUCUUUACAGUAUACAAGCAUGU